GGCCAGACUCCUACGGGAGGCAGCAGUGGGGGAUAUUGCACAAUGGGGGGAACCCUGAUGCAGCGACGCCGCGUGGGUGAAGAAGCGCCUCGGCGCGUAAAGCCCUGUCAGCAGGGAAGAAAAUGACGGUACCUGAAGAAGAAGCCCCGGCUAACUACGUGCCAGCAGCCGCGGUAAUACGUAGGGGGCAAGCGUUAUCCGGAUUUACUGGGUGUAAAGGGAGCGUAGACGGCAUGGCAAGUCAGAUGUGAAAGCCCGGGGCUCAACCCCGGGACUGCAUUUGAAACUGUCAGGCUGGAGUGCAGGAGAGGUAAGUGGAAUUCCUAGUGUAGCGGUGAAAUGCGUAGAUAUUAGGAGGAACACCAGUGGCGAAGGCGGCUUACUGGACUGUAACUGACGUUGAGGCUCGAAAGCGUGGGGAGCAAACAGGAUUAGAUACCCGAGUA
rnacentral:rRNA from 1 species